CACGUAGGGUGCGAGCGUUGUCCGGAAUUAUUGGGCGUAAAGAGCUCGUAGGCGGUGUGUCGCGUCGGCCGUGAAAACCUGCAGCUUAACUGUGGGCUUGCGGUCGAUACGGGCAUCACUGGAGUUCGGCAGGGGAGACUGGAAUUCCUGGUGUAGCGGUGAAAUGCGCAGAUAUCAGGAGGAACACCGGUGGCGAAGGCGCCACUCUGGGCCGAAACUGACGCUGAGGAGCGAAGGCGUGGGUAGCAAACAGG
rnacentral:rRNA from 1 species